rnacentral:rRNA from 1 species
AUUGAACGCUGGCGGCAGGCCUAACACAUGCAAGUCGAGCGGAUGAAGGGAGCUUGCUCCUGGAUUCAGCGGCGGACGGGUGAGUAAUGCCUAGGAAUCUGCCUGGUGGUGGGGGAUAACGUCCGGAAACGGGCGCUAAUACCGCAUACGUCCUGAGGGAGAAAGUGGGGGAUCUUCGGACCUCACGCUAUCAGAUGAUCCUAGGUCGGAUUAGCUAGUUGGUGGGGUAAAGGCCUACCAAGGCGACGAUCCGUAACUGGUCUGAGAGGAUGAUCAGUCACACUGGAACUGAGACACGGUCCAGACUCCUACGGGAGGCAGCAGUGGGGAAUAUUGGACAAUGGGCGAAAGCCUGAUCCAGCCAUGCCGCGUGUGUGAAGAAGGUCUUCGGAUUGUAAAGCACUUUAAGUUGGGAGGAAGGGCAGUAAGUUAAUACCUUGCUGUUUUGACGUUACCAACAGAAUAAGCACCGGCUAACUUCGUG